UACAUAAGGAGCAAGCGUUGUCCGGAAUCAUUGGGCGUAAAGGGCGCGUAGGCGGCUCUGCAAGUCAGUAGUGGAAGUCCCAUUUUCAAGGUGGGGAGGGCUGUUGAAACUGAGAAACUUGAGUGCAGGAGAGGAGAGUGGAAUUCCUAGUGUAGCGGUGAAAUGCGUAGAUAUUAGGAGGAACACCAGUUGCGAAGGCGGCUCUCUGGACUGUAACUGACACUGAGGCACGAAAGCGUGGGGAGCAAACAGGAUUAGA
rnacentral:rRNA from 1 species